GCCUGCGGCCAGACCACCCUGAAUGUGCCUCAUCUCCUCUGAUUUCAGAAGCUAAGCAGGGUUGGGCCUGGUUAGUACUUGGGUGGGAAAAGAUGUGAGGCCAUGUCAGGGGAGGGG
rnacentral:rRNA from 1 species